rnacentral:rRNA from 1 species
UACGUAGGGUGCGAGCGUUGUCCGGAAUUAUUGGGCGUAAAGAGCUCGUAGGUGGCGGGUCACGUCGGGUGUGAAAGCCCGGGGCUUAACUCCGGGUCUGCAUUCGAUACGGGUCUGCUGGGGUCCGGCAGGGGAGACUGGAAUCCUGGUGUAGCGGUGAAAUGCGCAGAUAUCAGGAGGAACACCGGUGGCGAAGGCGGGUCUCUGGGCCGGUACCGACGCUGAGGAGCGAAAGCGUGGGGAGCGAACAGG